rfam:Camelus ferus unplaced genomic scaffold scaffold386, whole genome shotgun sequence.
GAGGGUAUAGCUCAAGUGGUAGAGUAUGUGCUUAGCAUGCACAAGGUCCUGGGUUCAAACCCCAGUACCUCUU